AGUAAAUAAGGUACUCAAUACAUAGCAGAGUAAAAUUAAUUUAUUAUAUAGAAGGAGCUUCUACAGGACUAGAACUGUUUCAUUCAAGAGAAAUCUUCCUGAAGAUUUCUCUUGAAUGAAACAGUUCUAGUCCUGUAGAAGCUCCUUCUAUAUAAUAAAUAUAUAUAUAUAUAUAUAAUUAUGUCUGCAUAUAUAAUUAUAUCUAUACACACAUACACACACACAUAUAUAUAAAUACAUAUGUAUAUAUAAAUGUAUAUAUAUAUAUAUAUAUAUAUAUAUAUAUAUAUAUAUAUAUAUAUAUAUAUAUAUAUACGUAUCUAUGUAUGUAUACAAAUACAUAUUCAUACAUGCAAACCUGUAUACAUUCUCUAUAUGUGCGUAUACAUAUAUAUAUAUAUAUAUAUAUAUGCAUACAUACAUACAUAUAUGCUUAUAUAUAUAUAUAUAUGUGUGUGUGUGUGUGUGUAUAUUUCAUGUCUAUUUGUCUCACGUUCUUUUCUUCACUCUCUUUUCUGUGAGUGUGUCUGCCUAUAUAUUCACACACACACACACAUACAUACAUAUAUAUAUAUAUAUAUAUAUAUAUAUAUAUGCAUACAUACAUAUAUGCGUAUACAUAUAUAUGUAUGUAUGCAUAUGUAUAUAUAUUUACACACACGCACACAUACACACAUACACACAUAUAUAUAUAUAUGUAUGUAUAUAUAUAUAUAUAUAUAUCUUUAUAUAUAAAAGUGAAGUUGUGUGUCUGUUUCCUACGAUUUAGAUUCCUUACUCCCACAUUUUGCGGUGCAGUUUAACCAAAACCGGGUAUCUUAUAGUCGUGAUUCAUAUCGAGCCCUUCUGGGUAUUAGCGCGCGUCUACGAUGAGUCUACGAUUUAAAAAAAAAAUUUACCAUCAUUUUUUUUCCAUUUCUAAUGCAUUUUUUGCUAUUUUUUGGCUAUAACUCUCUAAAAAUGCUUAUAUAGUUAUUUCCCUUGCAAACCCGAGCAACGCCGGGCGAUACUGCUAGUAUAUCUAUAUGUGUGUGUGUAUAUAUGAGGCACAUGCACUCACACACUGUCUUUUAUUUCUAUCCCCGCUUUUUAAUUUUUACAUACUCAUUCCCAUAUAAGCAUAGAUCUACUCAUUUUUUUUUCUAUACCCCAUCUUACAGGCAUUCAUAUAUAAUGUAUAUACGUAUAUAUGUAUGUAUGUAUAUAUGAUAUAUAUAUAUCUAUAUAUACAUACAUCAUUAUAUAUAAAUAUAGGCGCAUAUUUAUGCAUAUAUAUUCAUAUAUAUGUAUAUAUAUAUAUAUAUAUAUAUAUACACACAAUAUAUAUACAUGUAUAUAAACAUACAUAUACACAUUUUAUAGUCAUAUGUAUAUCUAUAUAUAUAUAUGCACGUAUAUGCCUGUGAAUGUAUAUCUAUUUCUAAAUAUACAUACAUACAUACACACUGGCGCACACACACAUACACACACACAUAUAUAUAUAUAUGCCUGUAUAAGUGUGUAUAUGUAGAUCUAUUGGAUAUCUAUAUAUUUAUGCACACACACACACAUAUAUAUGCAUAUUUUAUAUACAAAUAUAUACAUUUACAUUCAACUCUACACAUGGAUAUGUAUAAACUUAUUCACGUAUAUAUAUACUGAAUAAUGUUUUGAUAAAUCUACCUUUAUUUUUACAAACACGUAUGACAAUAUAUAUAUUGAUUAUCUACUCCUAUGCAUAUUCAGCAUUCUUUAUAUAGGAGUCAAAUUGCUAUGUGUAUAAAUAUAACGAUCAAAGUAAGUCUUAAAAACGUCCCAUAUUUAUACGUUUUUGAUAUAUGCUCUCGGUUAUAAGCAUAUACAAUAUAUGUACAUAUAACUUCUUUGGUGCCCCUAAUAGAUUUUGCCCUCCCUAAGUCUGUACUUAGAUGAUUUUAUUGGGAAUAAUAAGGUUUUUAUUUUUUUUUUUUUACCACGGAUAUCACUAUUCCUGUGAAAGGGACGGGACUUUGACUCUGGUCGACUUAGAAAAGGAAGCGCUAACACAUGCUGUCCGAAGCUCUAACAGACGACAGACUCGCUGCCCUAAUUCUUCUUUCAUAUAUAUAUAUAUAUAUUUAUCAGCCCCUUUGAAAUUAUGAAAGGUAUUUUACUUUUGAACUGCAUUGCACUUAAACUCAGAGCCUAGAAAGGUGAAACUAUGGCCUGGAGGCAUUUAAGGCGAUGGAGGUGCUGCUGCCAAUCCUAUGGGAUAUCUCUCAGUGCGUUUCGCUAUAUAAAUAUAAAUAUGAAUAAAUACAUACAUACAUAUAUAUAUAUACAAAUAUAUAUGUAUAUUUGUGUAUGUAUAUAUAUAUAUAUGCAUAUAUAUAUAUAUACACACAUUUAUAUAUAUAUAUAUGCAUAUAUAUAUAUAUAUAUAUAAAUAUACAUAUAUAUAUAUGCAUAUAUAUACACACACACAUAUAUACAUUAUACAUAUAUAUUAUAUAUUUACAUAUAUAAGCCUAUAAAUAUAUUUGUAUAUGUGUAUAUAUUAUAUAUCAUAUAUAAAUAUAUUUAAAUAUAUAUUCAUAUAUAUAUAUAUACACACACAUAUACAUAUAUACAUACAUACAUGCAUGUAUACUCAUACACACUCACAUACAUAUAUACAUAUAUAUAUAAACAUCUGCAUAUAUAUAUAUAUGUGUGUGUAUAUAAGUAUAUAUAUAUACACAUAUAUAUGUAUACACACACACACACACACACACACAUAUAUAUAUAUAGAUAUAUAUAUAUAUACUGCCGAAACGAAGUUUCGUAGUUUUGUUGUAGGGGAGUAAAUUAAUUAAAUUAAAUUAAUUAUAUUUCACCCUUUAUCUGUAUUAAUAUUGACUACUUUUACUCCCAUAUAGAUAUAUAUAUAUAUAUAUAUAUAUAUAUAUAUAUAUAUAUAUACACUUAAAUACAUACAUAUAUAUGAAUAAGAAAGAAUUUGCAACUUGUAUGUAUAUAUAUAUAUAUAUAUAUAUAUAUAUAUAUAUAUAUAUAUAUACAUAUAUAUACAUACAUACACAGGCUUGCAUUUAGAAUUUCCAUUUUAUGAAUAUUUUGACACAGUUUAUGUAUAUAUAUAUAUAUAGACUUAGAUUCUUCCCUUUUCGUCACUCUUUGUCUGUCUCAUCUGUCUGUCGGUGUUUAUCCGUCUGUGUUUAUUUAUCUCUCACGUCUAUCUCACCUGACGUAUGCCUGUCAGUGCGUCUCAUUCUUUCAUUGUGUUUGUUUUCAUGUAUGUGCAUGUCUGUGUGAGCUAUGUGUGUGCAUGCAUUUUCAUGUGCUCGUAUGUGUAUGUGUGUCUUGAUGAUGUGUGAGUAUGAACGUUUGUUGAUGAAGCCUCGGUAUCAAACGUAUCUAUGGUGAAUGACACUUGCCAAUGUGGCAUUUAAUGAAUGUCACCCUGGAACCUCGUGGUUACGACGCAGAAUUCACGAUUCAUUAUUGAACCAUUUCUGCCUCUCAUUAAUGAAAAACGAAAAGAAACAAACAAAAAAUAUCUAUUUAUGGCAAGAGGAAACUAAAAUUAUAAGACAAUUCACUGUUAAUUAAUUAAUUAAUUAAUUUUUCUUUCUCUCUUUCUUUCCUCUAGUUACAGCUCAGAGCUGCGGCCAUUUAAAUAUUGCUGUUAUUAUUAUGAUUAUUAUUAUGAUUAUUAUUAUUAUCGGGUCACUGCCUGGAAUCGAACUCAUAAUCUUGGGGUUAGUAGGCAUAUGACGUUAUGUUAACUAAUAUUGAUUAAAAAAUGUUUAACACAAGACCAGCAAUUUAGGGGGAGGGCGUAAGUCGAUAACAUUGGCCCCAAUGUUCAAAUGGUGCUUAUUUCAUCGACCUCGAAAGUCGAAUUCGUUAGAAUUUGAACUGAGAACGUAAAAACGAACGAAAUCCCACAAAGCAUUCUGCUAACGAUUCUGUCAGCUGAUUGCCUUAAUAUUAAUUAAUAUUGAAUACGCGGAAAGAUUCAUUUCAUUACGUUGGAGAAGUAAUAUGAUGCUAAUUAGCUGUUUGCACCAGUACUACGCAGACCGUUGAUGGUAAAGCGAAAUAUAAAUCAAGGGACCAAUUUGAAUUAAUGAUGCUGAUCCACUUAGAAAGGGGCAAUGCGUAACUUGUAAGGUAGUACCAUUUACAACCAAUUUAUAAUUGAAUAGUUUACAAUUAGAAAUUACCGAAAACAAAAUAUGAUUUUUUCCUUAUGAAGGUAGAAAGUGUCUGCAAGGUAGCACCAAUAAUGAAUGAACAAUUUAUAGAAAGUAAGGUGGGGUUAAUAAUAGGGCCACGAUUUAAAAUUCGUAAUGGAGGGUUUCUAAGGUUUCAAUUUGUACUAAAGGACGUGCAUCUAUCAAUAUGAAUACAAUUCACAGGUAAUAUGGUGGAAAGAUUUAAAUUCACAGUAAACUUCUUGUCCAGCACCACUAGCACCAGAAGUGUGCCGGAUAACUGAAUUUUCCGGAUAUCUGAUUAUCACUUUUAAAUUCCCAUAGCAGCUUACAUGACUCGUCAAAACUCUUCACAGGCGUGAGCGUGGCUGUGUGCUAAAGAAUUUUACUUCCCAAAAUUAUGGUUCUGGGUUCAAUACCAGUGCGUGACACUUUGAGCAAGUGUCUCCUGCUUUGUAAGUGGAUUUGGUAGUCAGAAACUGUAAGAAGUCUGUGCUAUAUAUAUAUAUAUAUAUAUAUAUAUAUAUAUAUAUAUAUAUAUAUAUGUAUGUAUUAUAUAUAUCUUUAUAUAUAAAAGUGAAGUUGUGUAUCUGUCUCCUACGAUUUAGAUUCCUAACUACUCCCACAUUUUGCGGUGCAGUUUAACCAAAAGCGGGUAUCUUAUAGUCGUGAUUCAUAUCGAGCCCUUCUGGGUAUUAGCGCGCGUCUACGAUGAGUCUACGAUUAAAAAAAAAAAUUACCAUCAUUUUUUCCCAUUUUUAAUGCAUUUUUUUGCUAUUAUAUAAGGGAAGUAACUUUCUAAAAAUGCUUAUAUAGUUAUUUCACUUACAAACCCGAGCAACGCCGGGCGAUACUGCUAGUGUAUAUAUAUAUAUAUAUAUAUAUAUAUACAUAUAUAUUUUAUUUCGUAAUGAGAUUAAAAAACCAAGGCUGUGUAGAUUUUAGAACAUUUAUAGAUAGAAGGUCUUACAGCUGUUUCCAGGAUAUUUAUUAUAUCCCUUCAACGGAGACAGUGUGAGAGGAAGGUUAAGAAAUAGUUAAUUUAGAUGCGAUAUAAAAUAGAGAGUGAGGUGGAGGAAGUAAAAGAAAAUAGAUGUGAGAUAUGUAGGGAUAUUGCACUAGUAGAUCCAUUUUUUAAAGCAGAAUGGUAUACAUAUAAGAUUCCAAUACUUUAUGAAUAAAAUCCAAUAGUAUCUAAAAUUGGUCAUUCCAAGUGUAGAGUUUAUACACAGUGUUAUUGAAUCCAGGGUUGUGAUUAAAGUGAUCUUUUAGGCAGAAUGGUAUACAUAUAAUAUUCCAAUACCUUAUGACCAAAAUCCAAUAGAUAUACGUGUGUUGGGAUGCUAAAAGUUGUGGAUGGUCAUUGAGUGACCAUUGGUUUCGCACCGAUAAAGCACUUAGCAGUAUAGGCGUCUCCAUCGCCUAUGCUGCUAAGCGUGUGUUUGUGUCUUUGCAUCUGUGUUUUCCCCACCACAGCUUCUCAACCGCUGUUGGUGUGUUUAUGUCCCCGCAACUUAGCGGUUGCAAAAGAAUCGGAUACGGUAAGUACCAGGUUUAUAAAAAAAUAAAUACGGAGGUCGAAUCAUUCGACUAUAAUUUCUUCAAAGCGGUGCUCCAGCUUGACCGACAUAAAAUGACUGAAAUAGGUAAAAGAUAAAAGACAUACAUCAAUAAUAUUUCGAAUAUAGCAGAAAUGAGAUAAAAAGAAUAAAUAAAAAAUAUAAUUUAAAUAAAAUUUUUAUUAACCUAAUGAAAUACAGGUAUUGCAAAUGCAGUAAAACAAGAUUCUGAAUUGUGGUUUGAAAAGAAAACAUCCAUUUUAGACACAGUAGAAACUUUCUUUUAAUGGUAAUUAAUCAAUUAACACAAAUUAGCACAACAUUUCUUGACUCUAAUUAACAACACAUUUUAAAUUAUUUUUUCCUGGGUGCCGGUUGCUUGAGAUUUCCGGUUAUUUGAGUGCCGGAUAAGAGGAGGGUUCUAUAAUAUGUUGAUAGUAAUAAUAAAGGACAUAUUACAGUUAAGAUAGUAUGGUGAACCUAUAAGGACGGGACAAUUUAUCCAUUUUAGAUAACUAGAAACUUUCUUUUAAUGGCAAUUAACAAAUUAGGACAAAAUUUCUUGACUAAUUAACAGCACAUUUUAAUUUAUUUUCUCCUGGGUUGCUUAGGAUUUACAGUUAUUUUGAGUGUCGUAUAAGAGGGUGUGCAGGUUCUAUAAUAUGUUGGUAGUAAUAAUAAAGAACAGUUUACAAUUAAAAUAGACGAAACAUUUUAUCCAUUUUAGAUACUGUAGAAACUUUCUUUUAAUGGCAAUUAAUUAACAAAUUAGCACAAAAUUGUUUGACGAAUUAACAGCACAUUUUUAUUUUUUUCCUGGGUAAUGGUUGCUUGGGGUUUGAGCGCCGAAUAAGAGUGGGGUGUGGUUCUAUAAUAUGUUGAUAGUAAUUAUGAAGGACAGUUUGCAUUUAAGAUAAUAUUGGGGAACAGUUUAGGCACAUAGUAAAAGUGGACAAUUUCGAAUAAGUAAGGCAGAGCUAAUAAAUAACAAGUUCCAGUCAGCCGUUUUUAAGGUAACACUUUAGAGUAAGUAAUGUGGGACCAAUAAAAAUCUGCUCUUUAAAUAGUGACACCAAUAUCUCAAGGCGGUUAAGGCGGCGAGCUGGCAGAAACGUUAUCACGCCGGGCGAAAUGUCUAGCGGCAUUUCGUCUGUCUUUACGUUCUGAGUUCAAAUUCCGCCGAGGUCGACUUUGCCUUUCAUCCUUUCGGGGUCAAUAAAUUAAGUACCAGUUACGCACUGGGGUCGAUGUAAUCGACUUAAACCGUUUGUCUGUCCUUGUUUGUCCCCUCUGUGUUUAGCCCCUUGUGGAUAGUAAAGGAAUAAGUAUUUCAUCUGUCUUAACGUUCUGAGUUCAAAUUCCGUCGAGGGUCGACUUUGCCUUUCAUCCUUUUGGGGUCUAUAAAUUAAAUACCAGUUGUGUACUGGGGUCGAUCUAAUCGACUACCACCUCCCCAAAACUUUUGGGCCUUGUGCCUAGAGUAGAAAAGAAUAACUCAAGGCAGUUUAUAUUUUGUAAGGUAAAACGAUAAGUGAGUCGACAAUUCACGGUAAAUUGGUAGUAUGGUGGUACAAGUUAAAAGAAACUAUUCAAAUCUAAUAAUGUGAUACCAGUACUAAUUUACAAUUAGUAAGUUGGUACCAUUAAAAUGUGGACAAUUUAGUUCUUAUACUUUGGCAAAUAAUUAUAAGAGACGAUUUGUACUUAGUGAUUUUGUAUCAGUAAUACCAAACGUUAGUAUGCAACAGUAGUUCCCACCCUGUGGUCCGCAAAGGUAGUGCCGGGGUCCGUGAACAUGUUAAGCUAACUGAUCUUUCAAUAUCCUGGGAUCCAUGGGAAAACUCAUUUAAAUAAAAGGUAUCCUUGGUAGUAAAAAGGUUGAGAACAACUGGUAUACAACAAGGGAGAUUUUUCAAUCGGUUACGUACACCCAAUAAAAAUAUAAUAAAUUAUUUAUAUUAUGUAUUGAUGAAGAGUGGAUGUGAGUGGCAAGACUAGUCCGGGUGAAUGAGCCUACUCUGAACAUGCUCCUGUAGACUAGAGAAAGAAGACUUGGUGAGAGAGCGCUUGCUUUGGAGAUCAGGUUUUUGUGGGGUCUCCUUGAAUAGCCCCCGAAAGUCGUCUUGAGAAUCUGUUUGAAUAUUUUUGCUACUUUUCUUGUUUACUCAUUUUUUACGCAAUCCCACAUUGUAUCGUCCUGUAUCGUGGCCAGUUAGGCGGCGAGCUGGCAGAAUCGUUAGCAGACUGGGUGAAAUGCUUAGCGGAAUUUCGCCCCUCUUUAAGUCCGGAGUUCAAAUCCCACUAGGUUACACCUAAUGGUUCUCAAUCGGGAUCUAUUUCACCCUAGCAGGUCUAUGUAAGAUGUGCGGGGGUCCACGCAAAAGAAGUAGUGAAUUGGGGAUCCACAGUAGUAUUUUGAGGGUCCAUGAAAAAGUUUUGCUUUAAAUGUAUUUGUUGCAUGAAACAGCCGGGUUCCUUCCUCUAACGUUUUACAUAGUCCGACCUACACAAGUUAACGCAUGAAUAUCAAAAAAAGGAACUUUGAAAGAAGUAUCUAUAAAACCAGUUUUUUAGCAUCGAGUGGCUAUGGAGGUCCACCAGAAUAAAAUAGUAAUCAAAGGGGUCCAUAGGUAAAAGAAAAAGUUUGAGAAUCACUGGUGUAACCAAUAUGGGCUUAAUGUACAGGCACUAAGGUGUUGUUAAUAAAAAAAGUAGCAAUUUAGUGUUAGUAAUGUUCCACGAAGUGGAGACGCGUGGCUUAUUGGUUAGGGUGUUAGCAUCAUGAUCGUAAGAUUGUGGUUUCGAUUCCUGGACCAAGCGACGCGUUGUGUUCUUGAGCAAAACACUUCAUUUCACGUUGUUCCAGUUCAUUCAGCUGGCAAAAAUGAGUAACGCUGCGAUGGACUGGCGUCCCGUCCAGCUGGGGAACAUAUACGCCAUAGAAACCGGGAAACCGGGCCCAUGAGCCUGGCUAGGCUUUAAAAGGGCGCAUUUAUGAAUGUUGUUUUAAUGUUCCACGAAGAAGGAACGGUCUGCAGUUAAUAAGGUAGCAGCAACUGUAAGGAACAAUAUUGGUAUAAGAAUAAUAACUUACUAUUUGUAAUUAGCACCUAUUCUUGAUUAGCAAGGUGACACCAAUGACAUGACAAUUUAUACAAGUGAGAUUGUGACUUAGAGAUUAAAGUGUUACGCUCAUAAUCGUAAUAUUUUGGUUUCAAUUCCUGAACCGAGUGAUGUGCUGAGUUCUUGAAUUUCGCAGUGAUCCGGUCCACUCAGCUGGCAAAAAUGAAUAAUGAUGUGAUGGAUCAGCAUCCCGUCCAGUGGGGAAUAUAUUCGCUGCAGAAUUCGGGAAACCGGCCUUAUGAGCCUAUGCGUCGGUAGGGGCCUUGUUCCUUGAAAAGUAGCAUUAAUAAUAGGUGGAUAGUAUAUAGUUAGUUGGUAUCACUAAUAAGUGUGCUAUUGACAAUUAGUAAAGCGGCGCCUAUAAUAUGUAGACAGUCCACUGUUAGUAAGGUGGCACCAAAAUUUAGAGCUAGUGAUAUGAAACUAAUAAGUGAAUAAUACCAAGUUGGUAUAGUGCUACCAACAGCAAAUUGUCAUUUUACAGUUAGUAAUGUAGUAUCAAUGAUAACUGGAUUGUACUAAAUUUAUAGUUAGUAAUGCGGUACCAAUAGCAAGUGGAUAGUACCAAGUUAAUAUAGUGGUACCAACAAUUAGUAGUUAAUUUACAGUUAGUAAUGUCGUACAAAUAGUAAGUUAGUAUAGUGGUACCAACAAUAAGUGGUCAAUUUAUAAUUAGUACUGUGGUACCAAUAGUAAGUGGUUAAUUUACAGUUAGUAAUGUAGUACAAAUAGUAAGUUAGUAUAGUGGUACUAACAAUAAGUGGUCAAUUUAUAAUUAGUACUGCGGUACCAAUAGUAAGUGGUUAAUUUACAGUUAGUAAUGUAGUACCAAUAAGGUGAGUGUUGGGAGUUAAUAAGGUGGAACCAAAAUAUGUUAUAGCCAAUAAGUAAAUAAUUUACACUAAAUAUUGAGGUAAAACAGUACUAAUAAUUAGCGGAUAGAUCGAAUAUAUAAAUGAACAUGUAAAGAUUUUCAAGUAGAAAAAAUUCCCAUUUCAUUUUCUGCAUUCCGUUCUUAAUUUACUACUAAGGCCCGUUAAUCAAUAUGCUACUCUAGAAUGAACGUGAUGACAAGGUACAGCUUGUGUGUUGAUAACCUCAUUCUCUUGGCUGGAGAUCACAGACAGUUACCUCACACACAACCAGUAUUGUCUUGCGAGAUAAAGAAGAGAGAUAAGAGAACUGGUCCAAGGUCAGGUAUAUGCUUAUGAGUAGAUAUAUAUAUAUAUACGGAAUACAACACUGAAAAUCCAUUCAAAAGAGAAUAUUAUAGCUGUGUCAGAUUAAUACUCUCAUUACUUAUAGCAAUGCUAAAAAAAUAUUAUAGGUAUCUUAAUUUUAGUUGGUCCAUUAUGUACUCAUUUGAAUAUUUAGUGAGUUGUCAAGUAUAAAGCGAGCGAUAAGAUAAUGACAAUUUUGACAGUGUGCUACCUAAAAUAGACGUAAAGAUAAUAUAUUUACCUGAAACACAAGGAGGUAAAUGCAUUCUGAAAUUAGAAAAUUUAUGCAAACUAGCUUCUUUAAGAUAACAAAAUGUUAUUGCUGGAGAGAGGAAACAUGAUUGUUCGCUAUUUUCUGGCUAUCAAAAGAUAAAAGAAAAACAUGAAUUUGAAGAAAAGAGAUAAUUUUAGAGAUAAAAGUGUAAGAUUAAACAAAGACACAAUUUUUAAAAAUACCUAUAAAAAUUAUUAAACUUCAACUUCAAAAAUCGGAGGCAAUAUUUGUGGUAAGAUUAAGAUGGCGAGCUGGCAGAAUCGUUAGCAGGGCGGACAAAAUGCUUAGCGGCAUUUCCUCCACCUUUACGUUCUCAGUUCAAAUUUCGCCGAGAUUGACUUUGCCCUUCAUCCUCUCGGGGUCGAUAAAAUAAGUACUAUUUGGUGAUUGGGGGUCGAUGUAAUCGACUUUACCCUUCGUCCGAGAUUACUGGCCUUCUGUCAAAAUUGGAGACCGAUAUUCGUAGCAAGAUUGAGACGGUGAUUUGGCAGAAUGUUUGGCGCGCCGGGCAAAAUGUUUUGCGGCAUUUCGUCCGUGUUUGCGUUCUGAGUUGAUUUUGCCUUGCAUUCCUUCGGGGUCGAUAAAAUACGUAUCAUUUGAUCACUGUGGUUGAUGUAAUCGACUUAUCCCCUUUCCAAAUUUAUUGGCGUUGCCCAAAAAUUUAAAGCAAUAUUUGCAUCCAGACAUGUCUUUCUAAAUGGUAAAUAUAUGCCAUAAACGAACAAAUUAUAAGUAAUAUGAGAACGAAUUCAGAACAAACUCUAGUAUUCAGAGGAUUUCGUUCUGUGAACAUAACCCCAAACUUCUCGUCACAAACUAAAAGCUUCAUUUACAGAACGGAAUUUUAAUGAUACAUUAUAAAAAUGUGCCAUGUCAUUCCCAAACUUCUUAUACGUUCAGGUAUGGCUGAGCAAAAAAUAUCGACAUAGAAAAUAUAUUACAAAAAGAUAUCAGAAAAUGACAAAAGAAAUAAUAUUGUAACUAUUCAUACUGAUUGAGAAAUAGACAGAUAUUUCAGAUAUUAUUCCACCCACGUAAUUUCGUGGGGGAGUGAGUAAGUCGAUUGUAUCGAAUCCAGGUAAAGUCGAACUCGGUGGAAUUUGAAAUCAUUUUGCCAAGCAUGCUAACUAUUCUGCCAAGCAUGCUAAACAUUCUGCCAGCUCGCUAACUUAAUCUUUUGGGUGUCGGAGAUUUCGAUCAUGAUGAUGGCUAUCACAUCCUAACCUAGCGACGUGAGAUCAAUGGGCAGGCGCCCCUGCUUCCAAAGUGACCUCAGGCUAUGAGCAUUUAAAAAUCCCCCUCUCAGAGCCACCUUGUUGGUUUAAAAAUAACGAGGAGAAAAGGAAACGAGUUACGUAUUUGGUGUUCGGGAGCCCUGAUGGAUCGGUCUCCAUGCAGUUUGCAGUUUUCUUUGGGAGGUGCCUUUAGGUGCCUACUGCUGGCCCUUACGUUUAGACUUCUCACACCAUUGGGGAGGGGAAAUACUCUGUCAGUAUUUUUUACAGAGUGUUUCGGUUAAAUUUGACGAGUUUUGGAUGAGAUGUGGAUAUUUGCAUCGGUCGUAGGUUUAAGUUCUACUGUUGUCCAUAUCGUGAUUGCUGUGACUACUGUUAUCAAUGUUCUUAGUGUUGUUGCUGUUGCUGUUGAGCGAACGGUCUUCGUACCAGAGCUCGCAAGAUGGGAGAAGUCCGAAACGUGGUCCUUUGCUAUUCGUAAGACCCGCAGAAGAGAAAGCAGGUCAACCCCCGACACCGAGAGCAUCGACGGAUGGAUGAAUGCGCAUCCAGGCUCACCGGUUGCUUAGGAAGUCGGGGACAAGAAACAGGAAGAAAGAGUGAGAGAAAGUUGGGGCGAAAGAGUACAACAGGGGUCGCCACCACUCCCUGCCGGAGCCUCGUGGAACUUUAGAUGUUUUCGCUCAAUAAACACACACAUCGCCCGGUCUGGGAAUCGAAACCGCGAAUCCGCUGCCCUGACCACUGGGCCAUUGCGUCUCCGCUGCUGCUGCUGUUUCUGUUCGUUUCACUGGUGAUGUUACUACUCUAUGUUGUUGCUGUCGUUGGGAGUAAGGUGUCGACAGCUAUGGGAACUUCUCUCUCCUGCUUUUUUUUUUCAGUACAGAAAUUUUGGGAGCGACAUUUCGCACCACACAGGUGACAUCUUGUCUUUCUUUCCUCAACCGCAACUCGCAUGUUCUCUCCGUUGAGCAACUGAAUUAGACCUAAGAUCUUUUCCACCUACUCCGAGCUCAUCUGGAUAAGGAUCUCCACUGCGCUCUCAGACCACAACUCUCUUCGUUCGUUUUAUUUCGAGGAGUUUUUCAAAGUAACACAAGCUAACAACUCCCAGAUGUCCACCUCAGUUGCGGCAGUUCUUUCUAUCUAGAUAAGUUGGGUAAAUCAAAAGCACUCGUUAAUGUAAUGGGGAUGUGAAGUGCUCCAGAGUGAAGACUUCACUCUUGAAGAGGAUCUCGACACAGCCUAAUUUCCUUCCUUUGGUGACAUAGCAUACAUCGGCCCAUAUUUCUUUCAAAACUUGUUCCGCCUAGAAGAGCGUGUGUUGAUGCUUCUAGGCGUCGAGUUUUAGAACACACACACACAUACAAAGACACAUAUACACACGCGAAUAAUAAUAAUAAUAAUAAUAAUAAUAAUAAUAACAACAACAACAACAAUGCAUGAUAAUUUGCAUAACAUUUCCGGUGGCAAUGGGAUCAAAGAGAAAGAAGAAAAACUUAACAAUUACGACGAUUUGGAGUGGGGGAAAUACGAAGGUUGUGGUUAAUGAGGAGGGCAGACGUGAUACUAAUAGUAACUGGCGCACUUGAAAGUAUAAGUUCUAACUACCAGCAUGGCUCAAAAAGAUUGGUACAAAUGUAAAGGUAGAACACCUACAAAUAUCAGCAUUGUUUGGAACUGCAAGAAUUCUUCGCAAGGGUUUUUAAGCAUGGCCAAUAAACAAGUGUCACCUUAGUCUGCUGGCUGUGAACAGCUGACACUUUCCCUAAUUCCCAUCGAAGUAAGCUGAGAGUUUUCAUUAAAUAAUAAUAAUAAUGAUAAUAAUAAUAAUAAUAAUGAUACCAGCCAAUGUACGCCACUAUGAAACCGUAUGGCAUAUUACCAACCAAUGUAUGCCGCUAGCCCAGAAGGAAUAUAAGAGGAACCACGACAACAUAGCCAGGCUUGUCCAUUGGACACUUUGCAACAAGUAUAGACUUGACAGAGCAAAAAAUUGGUACGACCACAAACUUGAAGGCAUCGUCGGAAAUAGAAAUGCAAAGAUCCUAUGGGAUUUUAUGAUUCAAUGCGACCAUGAGAUAGAGAAUAGGAAGCCGGAAAUAGUGUUAAUUGAGAAAGAAAGCAAAUAAUGCUGGCUCAUAGAUAUAGAUAACAUGCCCAGCUGACAACAAGGUAUGCAAUAAGGAAGAAAGAAAAGUCGAUAGAUGUGAUAGGUUAGCUUGGGAGGUUAAGCAGUUGUGGUCCCUGAAAAAGGUGUAGUAGUACCAAUAAUUGUUGGAGCCCUGGGAACAGUGAGUAAAAAUCUUGAGAAGUACAUGGAACAAAUAGAAGCUGUAAUAAGGGUGGAGCACUUGCAGAAACAGUACUGCAUGGAACCGUUUGAAUAUACCAGAUGGUGCCCAAAAAAUAAAAGGUGUUACCUGAGUUCACUGGUUGUGAACAGCUGGCACUCUAGUACAUCUCCAGCGUUAGAAUCUGUGCCAACACAUUGAAUAAUAAUAAUACUGAUAAUAAUAAUAAUAAUUAUUAUUAUUAUUGUUGUUAUUAUUGUUAUUAUUAUUAUUGUUGUUAUUAUUGUUAUUAUUGUUGUUAUUAUUGUUAUUAUUGUUAUUAUUGUUAUUAUUAUUAUUGUUGUUAUUAUUAUUGUUGUUAUUAUUAUUGUUGUUAUUAUUAUUGUUAUUAUUAUUAUUGUUGUUAUUAUUGUUGUUAUUAUUAUUGUUAUUAUUAUUAUUGUUAUUAUUAUUAUUGUUGUUGUUAUUAUUGUUGUUGUUAUUAUUAUUAUUAUUAUUAUUAACUGGAAAGUAACAAUUUAUUAUCAGUAUAACAGAAAGGAUACCGAAAGGCAAAUAAAGACCUGUUAUUAGUUGAUAAAAUGAUAAAUAGAAAUUGUAGACGGCUAUUAAUGGGAUCGAAUGUUGCAUGGUUGAAUUACAGAAAAUCAUAUCUAACUACACUGGAUACGUGGAUAAGUAAAACAAUGAGCAUGCUUGGAGUGGCAGAAAAUAUGGAGAAAAUGGUUAAUGAAAGUAUGAAGUAUUGGAAUACUGAAUUGAUUGAAGGAAAACAAAGACUUGAGGAAAGUGAACAUCAGAAGUGGUAUAUUUCAAGGUGAUAGUUUAUCUCCAUUACUAUUUGUACCGCUGAGUUUGAUAUUGCGAGAAGUUAAAAUAGCUUAUGAUUUGGGAAAAGGAUAUGCUAAGACAAAUAAUCUCCUUUUUAUGGCUGAUAUAAAGCUUUAUAAGAAAAACGAGAAGUGUCUUGAAAGUCUUGUACAUACCGUUUGUAUUUUCUCAAAUGAUGUAGGUAUGGAAUUUGGGACUGAAAAGUGCAUUGCAUUGAUAAGGAAACGAGGAAGAUUUGAAGGAAGCCAAGCAAUAGACAUGUCAAAUGGGCAAAUAAUGAAAGUAGUUGAGACAGGACAGUGAUAUCAGAAUUUGGGAAUACUGAAGGCAGAUGAAAUAAAACAUGAAGAGAUAAAGCAAAUUACAACUAGGAGUGUGAGAAAAAUAUUACAGCCAAAGAUGAAUUCUAAAAAUGUUAUUGAAGCAAUAAAUGCAAAAGCAGUACCGGUUGUCAGAUAUGGAGUUUGAAUUGUAGACCGGACCAAAAGCGACAUACAGAAAUUUCACACAAAAACUAGAAAGAUGUUUAUUAUGUAUGGAACCUACCAUCCGAAGCUGAUAUUAACCGGUUGUACUUUAUGAGAGGCUACGAUGGAAGAGGCUUAAUUGCUGUGGAAGAAUGUGUACAGAUGGAAAAGAAGAAAAAACCCUACUAGAAUAUUUACAGAACAGCACAGAGAAAUUUCUAAAGACAGUGAAUAAAGAUCAGACGACUAAGUGUGGAAUAGGAGAGAAGAACAAGAAUGCAAUUCAAAGACAGCAUGCUGGCCAGGUUUGGAAAGCCACUGAGGUUGCAUGUGGAAUGAAAACCUGAGCUUUGUUGAAUAAAAGGCAAUUGCUUAGUUAAAAAUGGACAAUUGAGAAAAGAAACAGAGAGCCUUGUUAUAGCUGCUCAAGAUCAAGCGUUAAAAGCAUACAACUUGAGAAAAUGCGUGUAUGGGGAGAAGGUGUCAGUAAAAUGUAGAGUAUAUUGAAUUUGGAAUAAAACAAUGGCACACAUUGUUGCAGAAUGUUCCAAGUUGGCUCUGGGCGAAUUUAAGAAAUGGAGGCAUGGGCAAGUCGCGAAAGUUUUGCACUCGAAGCUUUGUGAGAAAUGGGGGUUUGAAGCUAGAAGUACUUAGUAUAAUCAUUGGGUUGACAGGGUGCUAGAGUCGGAAAAUGCAAGAUUUUAUGGUUUUUCCAAUUCAGACGGAUAAGAUAGAAAAUAAUAAACCAGUUAUAACAACAAUAGACAAAGAAAGGCGAAUUUGCUUACUGACUGAGUUAUCAUGUCCGCUUAAUUCCAGGAUUGUAAAGAAAGAAGAAAACAUUUUAAAACACAAUCACUUUGAAAUAUGAAACUGUAAAUGUUGUGCCUGCAAAAAUUGGUGCAUUAGGGACAGUGAGUAAUGAUAUAAACAGAUAGUUGACGGAAAGUCUUGUAGAGUUUCUGCCGAUGGUAUGCCCGUCAGGAACAGGAAAGAUUAUCAUUAGGGUUUUGAGCACUUGAAAUAUUAUUGAAAGCUUGUAGAUAUCUAAGGUUAGAGUAAUAACUCCCUAACUACAUAAAUUCCCCCAGGAAUAAAAUCAAAGCUGAGUCAGAUCGAAUCAUAAUUCCUUGUAUAGGCAGAAAGCCAGAAUUGUUGAAGAGAGUAUAAUCUAUUAAAUACAUUUUUAGGGUCACUAAAACAAGUACUAACCCUGUACUAUGGAUAAUAAAAUCGACUGUUCCUUUCCUACAAUAUUUGGGGCGUUGUACUUACGUUAAAAUGCAUUUCAGUAUUUAUUCCGGAUCUUUACGGUGCUAGUUCAAAUCUGGUUCUUAUUCUCUUCUCUGGUAGAUGAAAUAAAGUAUUCGUCAAAUGCUAGAAUGGGUUUAUUUGGCUCACCCCUCCUUCCACCCCCUCCCCAAAUGCGGCUACAUGCUUAGGUUGGAAACAAUGUUGUUUUCAGGUUUCGGCAUAAAUCCAGCAACUCCGAGGUAGAGAUGGAUUGAUUAGAGCGACCCCUCAACUGGUACCUUUUUAUUAACUCCGAAAGGAUAGAAAGUGGACCUCUGCGGAAUUUGACCCCAGAACGUAAAUGCGGACGAAAUGCCGCUAAAUAUUUUUCCAGGCGUAGCUAACGAUUCUCCCAGCUCGCCGCCUUUCUGCUGGAAACAAUAUUAUUGAAUAAAACCGUUUGAUUGAGAGGUAUGGGACAACUGUGGUGUCUAUUUGUCACGGUAAUAGCUAUCACAGAUUUUUCUAUUAUCCAGAGAUACGUUAUUAGGGAUAUGAGUGAAGCAAUCAUUAUAACAAUACUUGUUAGAGCUAAUCAAAUCACUAUGACACGCUUCACUAAAACAACAUAUUUUAUGAAAAUUAUCUAUUCUAUAUUGUAGUUGUGGGAACCUAAGUUUUGACACUCAAUGUUUUUAUGACAACAUUUCCGGAGAUGUGAAUUGAUUUGAAAUGGGAAUCGAAACUACAUCGCAAUUGGCCUCUGUUUUGAGUAUAUUUGUUCCCAGCAGCCACAUGGUUCCGGGUCCAGUCCCACUGUGUAGCACCUUGAGCAAGUGUCUUCUACUAUAGCUUCGGUCGCCCAAAGCCUUGUAAGUGGAUCUUGUAGACGGAAACUGAAAUAAUCCUGCCGUGUGUAUAUAUAUAUAUAUAUAUAUAUAUAUAUAUAUAUAUAUAUAUAUAUGUAUGUAUAUAUAUGUUUGUGUGCGUGUGUGUGUGUUUGUCCUCCCAUCACCGCUUGACAACCGAAGUUGGUGUGUUUACGUCCCCGUAAUCAAGCGGUUCGGUAAAAGAGACCGAUAGAAUAAG
rnacentral:lncRNA from 1 species